UACGGGGGGGGGCAAGCGUUGUUCGGAAUUACUGGGCGAAAGGGCUCGUAGGCGGCCAACUAAGUCGGACGUGAAAUCCCUCAGCUUAACUGGGGAACUGCGUCUGAUACUGGAUGGCUUGGAUUUGGGAGAGGGAUGCGGAAUUCCAGGUGUAGCGGUGAAAUGCGUAGAUAUCUGGAGGAACACCGGUGGCGAAGGCGGCAUCCUGGACCAACAUUGACGCUGAGGAGCGAAAGCCAGGGGAGCAAACGGGG
rnacentral:rRNA from 1 species